rnacentral:rRNA from 1 species
GUGAGUAACGCGUAUGCAACUUACCUAUCAGAGGGGGAUAACCCGGCGAAAGUCGGACUAAUACCGCAUGAAGCAGGGGCCCCGCAUGGGGAUAUUUGCUAAAGAUUCAUCGCUGAUAGAUAGGCAUGCGUUCCAUUAGGCAGUUGGCGGGGUAACGGCCCACCAAACCGACGAUGGAUAGGGGUUCUGAGAGGAAGGUCCCCCACAUUGGUACUGAGACACGGACCAAACUCCUACGGGAGGCAGCAGUGAGGAAUAUUGGUCAAUGGGCGUAAGCCUGAACCAGCCAAGUCGCGUGAGGGAUGAAGGUUCUAUGGAUCGUAAACCUCUUUUAUAAGGGAAUAAAGUGCGGGACGUGUCCUGUUUUGUAUGUACCUUAUGAAUAAGGAUCGGCUAACUCCGUGCCAGCAGCCGCGGUAAUACGGAGGAUCCGAGCGUUAUCCGGAUUUAUUGGGUUUAAAGGGUGCGUAGGCGGCCUUUUAAGUCAGCGGUGAAAGUCUGUGGCUCAACCAUAGAAUUGCCGUUGAAACUGGGAGGCUUGAGUAUGUUUGAGGCAGGCGGAAUGCGUGGUGUAGCGGUGAAAUGCUUAGAUAUCACGCAGAACCCCGAUUGCGAAGGCAGCCUGCCAAGCCAUGACUGACGCUGAUGCACGAAAGCGUGGGGAUCAAACAGGAUUAGAUACCCUGGUAGUCCACGCAGUAAACGAUGAUCACUAGCUGUUUGCGAUACAGUGUAAGCGGCACAGCGAAAGCGUUAAGUGAUCCACCUGGGGA